rnacentral:rRNA from 1 species
UGAGGAAUAUUGGUCAAUGGGCGCGAGCCUGAACCAGCCAAGUAGCGUGCAGGAUGACGGCCCUAUGGGUUGUAAACUGCUUUUGUGUGGGGAUAAAGUCAAUCACGUGUGAUUGUUUGCAGGUACCAUACGAAUAAGGACCGGCUAAUUCCGUGCCAGCAGCCGCGGUAAUACGGAAGGUCCGGGCGUUAUCCGGAUUUAUUGGGUUUAAAGGGAGCGUAGGCCGGAGAUUAAGUGUGUUGUGAAAUGUAGACGCUCAACGUCUGACUUGCAGCGCAUACUGGUCUCCUUGAGUACGCACAACGUUGGCGGAAUUCGUCGUGUAGCGGUGAAAUGCUUAGAUAUGACGAAGAACUCCGAUUGCGAAGGCAGCUGACGGGAGCGCAACUGACGCUUAAGCUCGAAGGUGCGGGUAUCGAACAGGAUUAGAUACCCUGGUAGUCCGCACAGUAAACGAUGGAUGCCCGCUGUUGGUACCUGGUAUCAGCGGCUAAGCGAAAGCAUUAAGCAUCCCACCUGGGGAGUACGCCGGCAACGGUG